GAUGAACGCUGGCGGCGUGCCUAAUACAUGCAAGUCGAGCGAACAGACGAGGAGCUUGCUCCUCUGACGUUAGCGGCGGACGGGUGAGUAACACGUGGAUAACCUACCUAUAAGACUGGGAUAACUUCGGGAAACCGGAGCUAAUACCGGAUAAUAUAUUGAACCGCAUGGUUCAAUAGUGAAAGACGGUUUUGCUGUCACUUAUAGAUGGAUCCGCGCCGCAUUAGCUAGUUGGUAAGGUAACGGCUUACCAAGGCAACGAUGCGUAGCCGACCUGAGAGGGUGAUCAGCCACACUGGAACUGAGACACGGUCCAGACUCCUACGGGAGGCAGCAGUAGGGAAUCUUCCGCAAUGGGCGAAAGCCUGACGGAGCAACGCCGCGUGAGUGAUGAAGGUCUUCGGAUCGUAAAGCUCUGUUAUUAGGGAAGAACAAAUGUAUAAGUAACUAUGCACGUCUUGACGGUACCUAAUCAGAAAGCCACGGCUAACUACGUG
rnacentral:rRNA from 1 species